UUGAACGCUGGCGGCAUGCCUUACACAUGCAAGUCGAACGGCAGCACGGGUGCUUGCACCUGGUGGCGAGUGGCGAACGGGUGAGUAAUACAUCGGAACAUGUCCUGUAGUGGGGGAUAGCCCGGCGAAAGCCGGAUUAAUACCGCAUACGAUCUACGGAUGAAAGCGGGGGACCUUCGGGCCUCGCGCUAUAGGGUUGGCCGAUGGCUGAUUAGCUAGUUGGUGGGGUAAAGGCCUACCAAGGCGACGAUCAGUAGCUGGUCUGAGAGGACGACCAGCCACACUGGGACUGAGACACGGCCCAGACUCCUACGGGAGGCAGCAGUGGGGAAUUUUGGACAAUGGGCGAAAGCCUGAUCCAGCAAUGCCGCGUGUGUGAAGAAGGCCUUCGGGUUGUAAAGCACUUUUGUCCGGAAAGAAAUCCUUGGCUCUAAUACAGUCGGGGGAUGACGGUACCGGAAGAAUAAGCACCGGCUAACUACGUGCCAGCAGCCGCGGUAAUACGUAGGGUGCGAGCGUUAAUCGGAAUUACUGGGCGUAAAGCGUGCGCAGGCGGUUUGCUAAGACCGAUGUGAAAUCCCCGGGCUCAACCUGGGAACUGCAUUGGUGACUGGCAGGCUAGAGUAUGGCAGAGGGGGGUAGAAUUCCACGUGUAGCAGUGAAAUGCGUAGAGAUGUGGAGGAAUACCGAUGGCGAAGGCAGCCCCCUGGGCCAAUACUGACGCUCAUGCACGAAAGCGUGGGGGAGCAAACAGGAUUAGAUACCCUGGUAGUCCACGCCCUAAACGAUGUCAACUAGUUGUUGGGGAUUCAUUUCCUUAGUAACGUAGCUAACGCGUGAAGUUGACCGCCUGGGGAGUACGGUCGCAAGAUUAAAACUCAAAGGAAUUGACGGGGACCCGCACAAGCGGUGGAUGAUGUGGAUUAAUUCGAUGCAACGCGAAAAACCUUACCUACCCUUGACAUGGUCGGAAUCCCGCUGAGAGGUGGGAGUGCUCGAAAGAGAACCGGCGCACAGGUGCUGCAUGGCUGUCGUCAGCUCGUGUCGUGAGAUGUUGGGUUAAGUCCCGCAACGAGCGCAACCCUUGUCCUUAGUUGCUACGCAAGAGCACUCUAAGGAGACUGCCGGUGACAAACCGGAGGAAGGUGGGGAUGACGUCAAGUCCUCAUGGCCCUUAUGGGUAGGGCUUCACACGUCAUACAAUGGUCGGAACAGAGGGUUGCCAACCCGCGAGGGGGAGCUAAUCCCAGAAAACCGAUCGUAGUCCGGAUUGCACUCUGCAACUCGAGUGCAUGAAGCUGGAAUCGCUAGUAAUCGCGGAUCAGCAUGCCGCGGUGAAUACGUUCCCGGGUCUUGUACACACCGCCC
rnacentral:rRNA from 1 species